GAGGAGGCUGAGUAUUGUUGCGGUGUUGUGUCUGGAGUUACAAAUCCUGCUUUUGGGUGCAAAUAGUUAAGUAGGACUGUACAGUCAUUUAAACAUAUAAUUUCACUCACUUUCUUCUGUUGCUUCAGAACGUUUGCAUAUUUUUACAUUCUCUGUUUCACAUGUCGCUCGUCUGUUUGAUCUUUUAUCUCUUAUUUUUUUAUUGAAAAGAGCAGUUUCAAGUCCCUAAAUGACACAGUAGCUCGGGGUGCACGAUGCACGUACAAUGUUGAAAGCUCGACUUUCAUUGAUAAUCCAGCUGUGGUCACUGAAAUUACUCAUUUCAAUAUGGGUGUUUUGUUGUAUGAUUGAGUAGAGCUGUGUUGAAUACAUUUGUGUCUUUUGAGGACUCUGAUAUGCAGUUUUAAUUUUUUGAUUGUAUGAUUUUGAAUUUGAUAAAUUCAAUUUGGGAAUUUUUUAAAGACUCAUACAAAGUAAAUGCUCUUAUUACCCUUUCCUCAUUAGCUCUCAUAAUUUUCUCUCCUAUUAAGAUUUUAUGAUACAGGAUGAUUAUUUAAAAAAGUAGGUUUUGCAUUUAAAGUCUGACUCUGCUGAUAACAACUGCAGACCUGCAUCCAUGAGUGUAAAUGAAAUCAUUGUCUAGAGCUUGUUUUUGAAGACCUGCUUGCAUAUAGAGGUUAGUUCUUGAUGUAAAAUGUCAGAUGCUGUCAGUCUCUCUGUUAAGUCCAUAAGUAAAUAUAAACAUGUUGAUGGUUUCAGUCAGCUGGUGUUGCGUGCUCACAGUCCGUGGGUGGCAUCUCUUUGUUGCCAUCGGCGACACUUUGACUAAUCGGCUCACUAACUUGCUCCUUGUGUGAGUGUGUGUGUAUUUAAACAUACACUUUUAUACUUGUAUCAGUGUGUGUACAGUAACAGUAAAUGUCUGUUUAGUUGGAUGUGUGCUGUGUAACUUUGUACAAUCUGUGAUUCGUGAGUCUUUUUUUUCUGAGUGGCUGUUUUAAGGCUGUAUUUUAUGUUGUACAUUUAUGUGUAAAAUUUUGGAUGUUUUUAGUCUCUAUGCCAGAAUAUGUGCUUUUAUUAAAUGUAAUAUUACAUACGGUGUAAUGUCAGCAAGAGAGAGAGAUAGUGAGAGUGUGUAUGUGUGUGUGUGUGUGUGUGGGGGGGGGCUUUACAGUUGUGCUGUUUGACUAGCUGCAUACAUGUUUAACAGUGUGUAGGUUUUAUUCCAAAUACUGUGUGAUUACUUGAUAAGCCCAAUAUGGGUUUGAGUAUCUAUUUUUGACUCCACUUGUAUAUUGGUGUGUGUAUGUGUGUGUUUUUGACACAUUCUGAUCUGGUUUGUUGUGUUAGUGUGUAUGCAUGACUGACAGAUUUUGGUAUUAUGAAUAUUAUUCUAACUUCAUUUGUGUAUACAAAAGCCUAUUCAAGUGUGUUUGUGAUUAUUACAAAGACUAAUGACAAAAACUUAAUAUUUCAUGACUUUUUUGAGUGUGUUUUUCUUUUAUAAGUGUGUGUGUGUGUGUGUGUGUGUGUGUGUGUGUGUGUGUGUGUGCUUGUGUGUGUAGCUCAAAUAUUUCCUUAAAGCUGUGAUCGUACAGAAGUGUGUAUUUUUGUCACUGUGUGUUCUUUUACUAAUUUUACACACCUUUUCUGUAUACAGUUGCAAAUAUGUAAGCUGUAUGAGUGUGUGUGUAUAUUUUUGCAGUAUGCAUGCAUACAUACCUUUACGCAAGCCACAAUAUAUACAAUACAAUAUGUUUUUUUCUUUUGCAAAGACAUGCAUGUGAACAUACAGCAAUAAUACAACUUGUUUGGAUUUGUCCAGACAAGAUGCCCUGUACUAAUUGUGUACAAUUAUAUCGUGGUGUCAUUUUUUAAUUAUAUUUUUGGGCUUUUGUGCCUUUUGCUGGUCUGUUAGGACAGUGGAUAGAGUAGGAAACAGGGAGAGUGAAUGUGGAGUGACAUGCUGCAUGCGACAACAGGCGGGAAUUCAACCCUGGCCACCCGCUUCAGGGACAAAAGCUUUGAACAUGAGACACAUAAUUUUACUACGUGGUCAAAAUGGCACCUAAAAUAUAGUGGUGUGUGUGUGUGUGUGUGUGUUUCCCAGACAGUGUUAAUCCUCUUAUUUUGUCCUGUUACACCAUCGUCUUACACCAUUCAGACUUGUACAAGUACAGUUAUUUUAUUUACAACAUUUCUUCUUUCACUGCUCCAAGUGUGUGAGUGAUGUCUAGUUGUGAGGGUGUAUCAGUAAUAGGUCAUUUGAUUUCUGCUGUUUAAUGCUAUAGGUUUGUAUAACUGCAGUUGCAUGUUUGUACACUAGAUUUGCGAGCAUUUAUUUGUACAGCACGUGUUAAUUGAGUUCAUAUGUGGCUGAUUAUUUUUGUCUGUGUGUUUGUUGUCAUUUGUAAUUGAUCUUAAUUCACAUGUUUACUGUAUGAGUGUGUGUACCAUAUGUGCAAACAGUGUGCGUGCAUUACUUUUAUUUGUUGAUAUAUUGUUAAGAUAAUGUGCACACAUGUAUGCCCUCUGUAUGUGUGUUUAUUCCUGGUUGUGGUUCUGUCAGUGUGUGUUACCAAGUGUUUUAGCAGAUAUGGAGAGGUGACGUCAAUGGAAAAAACCCGUAAUGAUCACAGAGUCAUUCAUAAUAAAUUUACUGGACUUACAAAUGUGUCUAGAACCAGUAUGCUGUUUAAAUCAUGGUAUUGAUUUUUUCAACCCUAUUGGAUGCUUAUUCAUCUACUUGUGUUGUUUUUUAUGUAUUUCACGUAAUGUGUGUGUACAUACAUGUGUAUGAGUGUGAGUGCAGUGAUGCACAUUGAAUACAGUAUAUGUUUUGCAAUAUGCAGCAUGUUAGUGUAUGUUCAGUGUGCAUAUAUUCACUCUCAUAUAGUCAUGUGAAACAGAUUGUUCCCUCUUCUGGCAGCUCCCCGUCUGUCUCAGCUGACAUUUACACAUUCAAAUCAGAGACUGUUUAUAGCUGUUCGAGGCACAUGACAUGAUUUCAUCCCUGUUUGUCAUGACUUACAGUACUGCAGCACCUUACAGGACUGUUUUAUGCUGUUAGGUCCAUUUUUUACAUAUUUGAUGCUAAGACCAUUUCAAACAGAAUCCUUGCAGCACCUAGAAGUCAACUUUUCAGGAAGUAGAUGACGGCUAGUGUUUUUUUUUAGUGUUUUGUCUAUAUCUGUUUUCCUUUGGGGUCCUGGAGACAAACCCAUACUCCUCUCAGUAAAUGAAGACAAUGAGCGUCAUUCAGAUGAUCUGAAUUUUACUACACACACGUCCUGCAUUUAACACACAAACAUAACAUAAACUAUAUCACAUUUUUCCUUGUUUAUUGCUGUUCCAGGUUUUAAUGGUCAGUGUCUCUCACUUGUCUAAAACACAGUUUGUGGUAAAGAGAGGAGGGGUCACCACUUCACCUUUUUUGGUGCAUGUGCUCAUACAGUUGAAGAAAACCAAAACAACUCUAAAGAUUAAACCAGUUUUUUAUUUUUUAAACACUUAGUUUUUUUUAUACUGAAAAGAAAAAAACUCAGGGUUAAAAAAAAGGAUGUGAAUCAACAUUAGUUCAGAGAUUUUGUAGGUUUUCGAUACUGAGAGCCAUAAACCAUCGAACCAUGUACUUAUGCAGCCUGUCUGCUCUGCUGAGACAUUUUCUUUUUUUUUUUCUCUGUAAUUUUAUACUGAUAUUUUAUGUACGAUGUGACACUUUUCAAUUUUUAUUUAUUUUUAAGUAAUUUUUUGGGCAUUUUUUUUCCUUUUAAUAAUAGUUCAAAGUAAAAUGUGGGGAGAUAGAGAGAGAGGGGGGAGGACAUGCAGCACAUGGCCGGGGCCGGACUCAAGCCGGACUUCAGGGACCGUGGUCCCCAUACAUGGGGCGCGCUAACUCACUCGGCUAUCUGCGCGUCCCAGCUGACAGUUUUUUAACCUAUUCUUCGAACCUAAACUUCAA
rnacentral:lncRNA from 1 species